AAAUUGAAGAGUUUGAUCAUGGCUCAGAUUGAACGCUGGCGGCAGGCCUAACACAUGCAAGUCGAACGGUAGCACAGAGAGCUUGCUCUCGGGUGACGAGUGGCGGACGGGUGAGUAAUGUCUGGGAAACUGCCCGAUGGAGGGGGAUAACUACUGGAAACGGUAGCUAAUACCGCAUAACGUCGCAAGACCAAAGUGGGGGACCUUCGGGCCUCACACCAUCGGAUGUGCCCAGAUGGGAUUAGC
rnacentral:rRNA from 1 species